UAAGGUGGUUAUAACGACGGGGCUCACCUCUUACCAUUCCGAACAGAGAAGUUAAGCCCGUUAGUGCCGAUGGUACUGCGUAUUGUGGGAGAGUAGGUCGCCGCCUUCU
rnacentral:rRNA from 1 species